rnacentral:rRNA from 1 species
GACGAACGCUGGCGGCGUGCUUAACACAUGCAAGUCGAACGGAAAGACCCUGCUUUUGUGGGGUGCUCGAGUGGCGAGCGCGGGAGUGACACGUGAGUAACAUGCACUUGUCUUUGUGGUAACUUCAGGAAACAGGGGCUAUUACCGGAUAGGAGCUCCUGCUGCAUGGUGGGGGUUGGAGAAAUCCGGCGGUUGGGGAUGGUCUGGCGGGUUAUCAGCUUGAUGGUGGGGUAGUUGUGUCCAAGGUGAUUGACGGGUAGCCGGCCUGAGAGCGGGACCGGCGACAUGGCGCCUAAGAUACGCACCAGACUCGUACGGGAGGCAGUAGUGGAGAAUCUUGCACAAUGGGCCGAAGCCUGAUGCAGCAACGCCGCGUGCGUGAUGACGGCCUUCGGGUUGUAAACAGCUUUCGACUGUGACGAAGCGUGAGUGACGGUAAUGGGUAAAGAAGCACCGGCUAACUACGUG